AUUUAACAUCAAAUUAACUCAGUAAUGGAGGAAAAUAAGAAUAUACUCAAGUCCAAUACUGUAUCCUCUUAAUGGGAGUAAGGACAUAAGGAGAAAAAAGAAAAAAAAAUGAUAAUCAAGGAAAAGACAAUUAAAAUGUUCAUUAGGAAACUUUAAUACAGAACAAGAAGCCCUUUAAUAUCUAAUCUAACAAUCUUGCAUUAGACAGUGAUGCAAACAAUAAGAA
rnacentral:misc_RNA from 1 species